rnacentral:tRNA from 1 species
GCCUGGCUGGCUCAGUCGGUAGAACAUGGGACUCUUGAUCUCGGGGUCAUGAGUUCAAGCCCCAUGUUGGGCA